CUCUUUGCAGAAAUGGACUUGGAUUCCUGUGAGGCAGAGAGGCCACUGGGUGACAGAGUGAUCCCAGGAAGACUUCCUAAUCCAUCUUUUCAUGGGGGCAGAAGGGAAGCAGCGGCUGUGGAACCAGAUAAGGGUCCAGUGUGCUUUGAAGAUGUUGCUGUUCGUUUCACGGACAAGGA